rnacentral:rRNA from 1 species
AUUGCCCUAGUAACGGCGAGUGAAGCGGCAACAGCUCAAAUUUGAAAUCUGGCGCAAGCCCGAGUUGUAAUUUGUAGAGGAUGCUUCUGGGCAGCGGCCGGUCUAAGUUCCUUGGAACAGGACGUCAUAGAGGGUGAGAAUCCCGUAUGUGACCGGCUGGCACCCUCCACGUAGCUCCUUCGACGAGUCGAGUUGUUUGGGAAUGCAGCUCUAAAUGGGAGGUAAAUUUCUUCUAAAGCUAAAUACCGGGCAGAGACCGAUAGCGCACAAGUAGAGUGAUCGAAAGAUGAAAAGUACUUUGGAAAGAGAGUUAAAAAGCACGUGAAAUUGUUGAAAGGGAAGCGCUUGCGACCAGACUUGUCGGCGGUGUUCCGCCGGUCUUCUGACCGGUUCACUCGCCGUCGGCAGGCCAGCAUCAUCUGGGGCCGCCGGAUAAAGGCUUUGGGAAUGUAGCUCCCCUCGGGGAGUGUUAUAGCCCUUUGCACAAUACGGCGCGCCCCGGGUGAGGUCCGCGUCUCGGCAAGGAUGCUGGCGUAAUGGUUGUAAGCGGCCCGUCUUGAAACACGGACCAAGGAGUCGAUUAUCUAUGCGAGUGUUCGGGCGUCAAACCCCUACGCGUAAUGAAAGUGAACGGAGGUGGGAACCCUUACCGGUGCACCAUCGACCGAUCCGGAUGUCUUCGGAUGGAUUUGAGUAAGAGCAUAGCUAAUCGGACCCGAAAGAUGGUGAACUAUGCCUGAAUAGGGUGAAGCCAGAGGAAACUCUGGUGGAGGCUCGCAGCGGUUCUGACGUGCAAAUCGAUCGUCAAAUUUGGGUAUAGGGGGCGAAAGACUAAUCAAACCAUCUAGUAGCUGGUUCCUGCCGAA